ACGAAGGACCCGAGCGUUAUCCGGAUUUAUUGGGUUUAAAGGGUGCGUAGGCGGAUUAGUAAGUCAGUGGUGAAAGCCCAUCGCUUAACGGUGGAAUUGCCAUUGAUACUGCUAGUCUUGAGUAUGGUUGAGGUGGGCGGAAUGUGUCAUGUAGCGGUGAAAUGCUUAGAUAUGACCCAGAACACCAAUUGCGAAGGCAGCUCGCUAAACCAUAACUGACGCUGAUGCACGAAAGCGUGGGGAGCAAACAGGA
rnacentral:rRNA from 1 species